rnacentral:rRNA from 1 species
AGCAGCCGCGGUAAUUCCAGCUCCAAUAGCGUAUAUUAAAGUUGUUGCAGUUAAAAAGCUCGUAGUUGAAUUUCGGGGUCAGUAGGCUGGUCAUGCCACUGGUAUGUACUGGUCUUACUGACUCCUCCUUCCUGACGAACCGUAAUGCCAUUAAUUUGGUGUUGCGGGGAAUUUGGACUGUUACUUUGAAAAAAUUAGAGUGUUUAAAGCAGGCUCACGCUUGAAUACAUUAGCAUGGAAUAAUGAAAUAGGACGUUUGAUUCUAUUUUGUUGGUUUCUAGGAUCGACGUAAUGAUUAAUAGGGAUAGUUGGGGGCAUUAGUAUUCAAUUGUCAGAGGUGAAAUUCUUGGAUUUAUUGAAGACUAACUACUGCGAAAGCAUUUGCCAAGGAUGUUUUCAUUAAUCAAGAACGAAAGUUAGGGGAUCGAAGACGAUCAGAUACCGUCGUAGUCUUAACCAUAAACUAUGCCGACUAGGGAUCGGAUGAUGUUAAUUUUUAAUGACUCAUUCGGCGCCUUAC